AUGCCUACAACGACUAUGAAUCUUUGCUCCUGGAACGUUAGGGGCCUGGGUGAUGCGGACAAAUGCAAUGAUGUUUUAUCUGAACUACUUUCUAUCAAACCGCACAUGUUGUUUCUCCAAGAAACUAAACUUGCAACUCCCUCUACUACAAAAAUUAGGUCCUUCCUGCCAACCUCCCUCGAUUUCUUCGCCACUCUACCUGCUACGGGCUCCGCGGGAUGCUUGCUCUCGGCCGCCAACACAAGCUCCAUUACCAUCACAAACCAUUCGAACCAUGGUUUCUGCUCAACCAUCACCUUCACCUCGCUCGCCCCCCCCUCACCCAUUUCCGUUACCAACGUCUACGGCCCGACCGUCAGAUUGGAAAAACAUAACUUCCUCGCUGAACUAAAAGCCAUAGCUCCCCCCGAAAACACCCCGUGGCUAAUCGUAGGUGACUUCAAUCUAAUCCGUUUCCCACACGAGAAAAACAACGACAACUUUCACCAACGGGAAUCUCGCCUCAUCAAUGAAACGAUCGAUGAACUAGCCCUUCUUGAGCUGCCCCUCCUGGAUCGGCAGUUCACGUGGUCAAAUAACAGAGAAACCCCGAUCCUCGAAAGACUCGACCGCGCCUUCUUUAACUUAGCUUGGAAUCAUGCUUUCCCCAACACCUCAUUAACCUCGCUCACUCGCGCCAUCUCCGAUCAUGUCCCACUAAUCAUCUCCGUAUCCACGGCCGUGCCUCGCUCCCGCCUUUUUCGAUUCGAAUGA
rnacentral:rRNA from 1 species